GGGUAAUGAUGUUUAAUCCUAUUCCAUUGCUGAACUGACAGUGUGGAAAAAAGACUGCUGAACCC